GAAUCUGCCUUUAGGUCCGGGACAACCACUGGAAACGGUGGCUAAUACCGGAUGUGCCGCAACGUGAAAGGGGAAACCCGCCUGAAGAUGAGCUCGCGUCUGAUUAGCUAGUUGGUGAGGUAAGGGCUCACCAAGGCGACGAUCAGUAGCUGGUCUGAGAGGAUGACCAGCCACACUGGGACUGAGACACGGCCCAGACUCCUACGGGAGGCAGCAGUGGGGAAUUUUCCGCAAUGGGCGAAAGCCUGACGGAGCAAGACCGCGUGAGGGAAGAAGGCUCUUGGGUCGUAAACCUCUUUUGUCAGGGAAGAACACAAUGACGGUACCUGACGAAUCAGCCUCGGCUAACUCCGUGCCAGCAGCCGCGGUAAUACGGAGGAGGCAAGCGUUAUCCGGAAUUAUUGGGCGUAAAGCGUCCGUAGGUGGCUAGUCAAGUCUGCGGUCAAAGACUGGGGCUUAACCCUAGAAAGGCCGUGGAAACUGACGAGCUAGAGUGCAGUAGGGGUAGAGGGAAUUCCCGGUGUAGCGGUGAAAUGCGUAGAGCUCGGGAAGAACAUCGGUGGCGAAAGCGCUCUACUGGACUGCAACUGACACUCAGGGACGAAAGCUAGGGGAGCG
rnacentral:rRNA from 1 species